CUCGGCUCGACCCCGUCUGGUGACCGGCGACGCUGGGCCGGGCUCGGCGCAGGGGGUCGGGACACUGCAAUAGACUGACUGUUUGUGUCCCUCUGAAGUCCGUGUAUUGAAAUCUUAACCCCCAGUGUGAUGGAGAAGUCAGCAGUGAACCUGGAAGAGGGUCCUCGUGGGACACUGAGUCCACCAGUGCCUUGGUCUGGGACUGAUCGCCUCCAGAACUGUGUGCCUCAAGGACUGAGAGUUCCCUGUGGUUUCACGCUGCUGAUGUAGGCUGUCGUCAAGUUCUCUGCUUCACUGCAUCCUUCUAUUCUUAGAGGCCAUCCAAUCCAGGCCUGUUGGCAGAAGGGUAUAUGGAAUCAACAAAAUGAAAAGGCAACCUGUGGAAUGGGAGAAAAUAUUUGCAA